UGGGGGAUAUUGCACAAUGGAGGAAACUCUGAUGCAGCGACGCCGCGUGAGGGAAGACGGUUUUCGGAUUGUAAACCUCUGUCUCCGGGGACGAUAAUGACGGUACCCGGGGAGGAAGCCACGGCUAACUACGUGCCAGCAGCCGCGGUAAUACGUAGGUGGCAAGCGUUGUCCGGAAUUACUGGGUGUAAAGGGAGCGCAGGCGGGAUCGUAAGUCAAGUGUUAAAAUGCUCAGCUCAACUGAGUAGUGCGCUUGAAACUAUGAUUCUUGAGUGAAGUAGAGGUAGGCGGAAUUCCUAGUGUAGCGGUGAAAUGCGUAGAUAUUAGGAGGAACACCAGUGGCGAAGGCGGCCUACUGGGCUUUAACUGACGCUGAGGCUCGAAAGUGUGGGGAGCAAACA
rnacentral:rRNA from 1 species